rnacentral:ncRNA from 2 species
UACAGAGGGUGCAAGCGUUAAUCGGAAUUACUGGGCGUAAAGCGUGCGUAGACGGUUAUGUAAGUUAGGUGUGAAAGCCCCGGGCUCAACCUGGGAAUUGCAUUUAAGACUGCAUAGCUAGGGUGCGGAAGAGGGAAGCGGAAUUUCCGGUGUAGCGGUGAAAUGCGUAGAUAUCGGAAGGAACACCAGUGGCGAAAGCGGCUUCCUGGUCCAGCACCGACGUUCAGGCACGAAAGCGUGGGGAGCAAACAGG